rnacentral:rRNA from 1 species
GACAGAGGGUGCGAACGUUGUUCGGAAUUACUGGGCGUAAAGCGCAUGUAGGCGGCAGCGCAAGUCGGGCGUGAAAUCCCACGGCUCAACCGUGGAAGUGCACUCGAAACUGCGCAGCUAGAGUCCUGGAGAGGAAGGUGGAAUGCUUGGUGUAGAGGUGAAAUUCGUAGAUAUCAGGAAGAACACCAGUGGCGAAGGCGGCUCACUGGUCCGGUACUGACGCUGAGGUGCGAAAGCGUGGGGAGCAAACAGG